rnacentral:rRNA from 1 species
CCUACGGGAGGCAGCAGUAGGGAAUCUUCCACAAUGGACGAAAGUCUGAUGGAGCAACGCCGCGUGAGUGAAGAAGGGUUUCGGCUCGUAAAGCUCUGUUGGUAGUGAAGAAAGAUAGAGGUAGUAACUGGCCUUUAUUUGACGGUAAUUACUUAGAAAGUCACGGCUAACUACGUGCCAGCAGCCGCGGUAAUACGUAGGUGGCAAGAGUUGUCCGGUUUUAUUGGGCGUAAAGCGAGUGCAGGCGGUUCAAUAAGUCUGAAGUGAAAGCCUUCGGCUCAACCGGGGAAUUGCAUCAGAAACUGUUGAACUAGAGUGCAGAAGAGGAGAGUGGAACUCCAUGUGUAGCGGUGGAAUGCGUAGAUAUAUGGAAGAACAACAGUGGCGAAGGCGGCUCUCUGGGCUGCAACUGACGCUGAGGCUCGAAAGCAUGGGUAGCGAACAGGAUUAGAUACCCGAGUAGUC